CAGGUGUAGGCUUUACAGUGGAAUGCUUAUUUACGAGUCCAUUCCCAACAAUGCAGAGUUAAAAGAUGUGGAAUCACUGGGAAGCCAGGUGGAGAGAUGAUAUUUACCCAGCAUCUCUACUUCAUGACUGGCUGCACACAGGACACAGGACUGUCUAGGCAGCAUCUGCCCAGUGAAACAAGACCCAUUUCCUCAUCAUGAGAGAAGAUAAUUAGCAUAAUAUCCCUCUCUGUAAGGACUCACACCGGGUUUAUUCUCAUGCACUUGUUUCAUCCUCCCCGAAGAGAGACCACCCCUAAUGGAUACAGUCGCUGAGCCCAGGACCCACAUACCAAGCAUUUAUAAGAGCC
rnacentral:lncRNA from 1 species